ACUAAAGGGGUGCUGGCCAUCAUGCCGGCUGAGAUCAUACCCAUGAACCUGAUGCAGGUAAUGCUGCCGUAGGGACGAUUAGAUAU
rnacentral:ncRNA from 1 species